GAUGAACGCUGGCGGCGUGCCUAAUACAUGCAAGUCGAGCGAAUGGAUUAAGAGCUUGCUCUUAUGAAGUUGGCGGCGGACGGGUGAGUAACACGUGGGUAACCUGCCCAUAAGACUGGGAUAACUCCGGGAAACCGGGGCUAAUACCGGGUAACAUUUUGAACCGCAUGGUUCGAAAUUGAAAGGCGGCUUCGGCUGUCACUGAUGGAUGGACCCGCGUCGCAUUAGCUAGUUGGUGAGGUAACGGCUCACCAAGGCAACGAUGCGUAGCCGACCUGAGAGGGUGAUCGGCACCACGGGGACUGAGACACGGCCAAGACUCCUACGGGAGGAAGCCGUAGGGAAUCUUCCGAAAUGGACGAAAGUCUAACGGAGCAACGCCGCGUGAGUGAUGAAGGCUUUAGGGUCGUAAAACUCUGUUGUUAGGGAAAAACAAGUGCUAGUUGAAUAAGCUGGCACCUUGACGGUACCUAACCAGAAAGCCACGGCUAACUACGUGCCAGCAGCCGCCGUAA
rnacentral:rRNA from 1 species